rnacentral:rRNA from 1 species
UACGUAGGGUGCGAGCGUUGCCCGGAUUUAUUGGGCGUAAAGGGCGCGUAGGCGGCUCGGCACGUCCGUUGUGAAAUCGCCCGGCUCAACUGGGCGGGGUCGGCGGAUACGGCCGAGCUGGAGCAAGCUAGGGGGUAAUGGAAUUCCCGGUGUAGUGGUGGAAUGCGUAGAUAUCAGGAGGAACACCGGUGGUGUAGACGGCUUUCUGGACCGUAACUGACGCUGAGACACGAAAGCGUGGGUAGCAAACAGG